rnacentral:rRNA from 1 species
AUUGAGCGCUGGCGGCAUGCUUUACACAUGCAAGUCGAACGGUAACAGGCCGCAAGGUGCUGACGAGUGGCGAACGGGUGAGUAAUGCAUCGGAACGUGCCCAGUCGUGGGGGAUAACUACUCGAAAGAGUAGCUAAUACCGCAUACGAUCUAUGGAUGAAAGCGGGGGACCGUAAGGCCUCGCGCGAUUGGAGCGGCCGAUGUCAGAUUAGGUAGUUGGUGGGGUAAAGGCUCACCAAGCCAACGAUCUGUAGCUGGUCUGAGAGGACAACCAGCCACACUGGGACUGAGACACGGCCCAGACUCCUACGGGAGGCAGCAGUGGGGAAUUUUGGACAAUGGGCGCAAGCCUGAUCCAGCAAUGCCGCGUGCAGGAAGAAGGCCUUCGGGUUGUAAACUGCUUUUGUACGGAACGAAACGGCUCUGGUUAAUACCCGGGGCUAAUGACGGUACCGUAAGAAUAAGCACCGGCUAACUACGUG